rnacentral:rRNA from 1 species
AACGCGAAGAACCUUACCUGCUCUUGACAUCCCUCUGAAGCAGCCGUAAUGGGCUGUGCCCUUCGGGGCAGAGGAGACAGGUGGUGCAUGGUUGUCGUCAGCUCGUGUCGUGAGAUGUUGGGUUAAGUCCCGCAACGAGCGCAACCCUUAUUUUCAGUAGCCAGCAGGUAGAGCUGGGCACUCUGGAGAGACUGCCGGGGAUAACCCGGAGGAAGGUGGGGAUGACGUCAAAUCAUCAUGCCCCUUAUGAGCAGGGCUACACACGUGCUACAAUGGCGUAAACAAAGAGAAGCGAGACUGUGAAGUGGAGCAAACCUCAAAAAUAACGUCUCAGUUCGGAUUGUAGUCUGCAACUCGACUACAUGAAGCUGGAAUCGCUAGUAAUCGCGAAUCAGAAUGUCGCGGUGAAUACGUUCCCGGGUCUUGUACACACCG